AUUGAACGCUGGCGGCAGGCCUAACACAUGCAAGUCGAACGAGUGGCGGACGGGUGAGUAAUGCCUGGGAAUCUGGCUGAUGGAGGGGGAUAACUACGGGAAACUGUAGCUAAUACCGCGUACCAUAGGAUGAGCCCAGAUGGGAUUAGGUAGUAGGUGGGGUAAAGGCUCACCAAGCCGACGAUCACUAGCUGGUCUGAGAGGAUGACCAGCCACACUGGGACUGAGACACGGUCCAGACUCCUACGGGAGGCAGCAGUGGGGAAUAUUGCGCAAUGGGGGCAACCUGACGCAGCCAUGCCGCGUGAAUGAAGAAGGCCUUCGGGUUGUAAAGUUCUUUCGGUAGCGAGGCGUUACCUACAGAAGAAGCACCGGCUAACUCCGUGCCAGCAGCCGCGGUAAUAC
rnacentral:rRNA from 1 species